CCUACGGGGGGCAGCAGUCGAGAAUCAUUCACAAUGGGGGAAACCCUGAUGGUGCGACGCCGCGUGGGGGAAUGAAGGUCUUCGGAUUGUAAACCCCUGUCAUGUGGGAGCAAAUUAAAAAGAUAGUACCACAAGAGGAAGAGACGGCUAACUCUGUGCCAGCAGCCGCGGUAAUACAGAGGUCUCAAGCGUUGUUCGGAAUCACUGGGCGUAAGGCGUGCGUAGGCUGUUUCGUAAGUCGUGUGUGAAAGGCUAGGGCUCAACCCGCGGACGGCACAUGAUACUGCGAGACUAGAGUAAUGGAGGGGGAACCGGAAUUCUCGGUGUAGCAGUGAAAUGCGUAGAUAUCGAGAGGAACACUCGUGGCGAAGGCGGGUUCCUGGACAUUAACUGACGCUGAGGCACGAAGGCCAGGGGAGCGAAAGGGAUUAGAUACCCCAGUAGUC
rnacentral:rRNA from 1 species